ensembl:lncRNA
GCCGUGUUUAGCGGUGUGCCCGGGCAGUCCCGGCUCCGGUCCCGGCCGUGACCCGCGUUCGGUCCCCGGGCUGGCCCAAACCCGCUCCCGGUUCUUCACAAAGUUCAUCUCGGCUUUGCAAAAACCAGCCCCUGCUGCACAGAGCACCAGACCACAGUGAUCUCCACUUCCCUCGAAACCCGGGCUGAACCAAGGGAGGAGCAGGGAUGCUGGAAAUGCAGCUGGAAAAGCAAUUAUUGCCUUCGCCAGCACGGGAGCCUCAGCCCCUCUUCAGCUGCGCACAAAGGGAGGGACAAGAGGCUCCCUGAGACCCAAACCCUUCUGAAUGGUGAGGAGGAAACGUCCCACGGGUUUUGUUUGUCCCCUCAGGAUGUCAGCAUCCUUUGGAAAGCUUUGUGUGGGAGCAGCUUUGCUCUGGGAGGAACUGGGGGGAGGAAGGAGCAGAAAACAUCCCUGGGUUCAAAGAGACAACU